AGUGAACGCUGGCGGUAGGCCUAACACAUGCAAGUCGAACGGCAGCACAGUAAGAGCUUGCUCUUACGGGUGGCGAGUGGCGGACGGGUGAGGAAUACAUCGGAAUCUACUUUUUCGUGGGGGAUAACGUAGGGAAACUUACGCUAAUACCGCAUACGCCCUACGGGUGAAAGCAGGGGAUCUUCGGACCUUGCGCGCUUGACUGAGCCGAUGUCGGAUUAGCUAGUUGGCGGGGUAAAGGCCCACCAAGGCGACGAUCCGUAGCUGGUCUGAGAGGAUGAUCAGCCACACUGGAACUGAGACACGGUCCAGACUCCUACGGGAGGCAGCAGUGGGGAAUAUUGGACAAUGGGCGCAAGCCUGAUCCAGCCAUACCGCGUGGGUGAAGAAGGCCUUCGGGUUGUAAAGCCCUUUUGUUGGGAAAGAAAAGCAGCAGGUUAAUACCCCGCUGUUCUGACGGUACCCAAAGAAUAAGCACCGGCUAACUUCGUG
rnacentral:rRNA from 1 species